rnacentral:rRNA from 1 species
CCUACGGGGGGCGGCAGUGGGGAAUAUUGGACAAUGGGGGGAACCCUGAUCCAGCCAUGCCGCGUGUGUGAAGAAGGCCCUCGGGUUGUAAAGCACUUUCAGUGAGGAAGAACGCCUGGUGGUUAAUACCCAUCAGGAAAGACAUCACUCACAGAAGAAGCACCGGCUAACUCCGUGCCAGCAGCCGCGGUAAUACGGAGGGUGCGAGCGUUAAUCGGAAUUACUGGGCGUAAAGCGCGCGUAGGUGGCUUGAUAAGCCGGUUGUGAAAGCCCCGGGCUCAACCUGGGAACGGCAUCCGGAACUGUCAAGCUAGAGUGCAGGAGAGGAAGGUAGAAUUCCCGGUGUAGCGGUGAAAUGCGUAGAGAUCGGGAGGAAUACCAGUGGCGAAGGCGGCCUUCUGGACUGACACUGACACUGAGGUGCGAAAGCGUGGGUAGCAAACAGGAUUAGAUACCCGUGUAGUC